rnacentral:misc_RNA from 1 species
UCCGGUUUAUCACCGGCAGUUUCCUUAUAGUUCCCGGCCGAACCGCUGGCAAAUAAGGAUGAGGGUUUCGCUCGUUGCGGGACUUAACCCAACAUCUCACGACACGAGCUGACGACAGCCAUGCAACACCUGUGUGUGGUCCAGCCGAACUGAAGGGGUCCAUCUCUGGUCCCCGCGACCACCAUGUCAAGGGUUGGUAAGGUUUUUCGCGUAGCAUCGAAUUAAACCGCAUGCUCCACCACUUGUGCGAGCCCCCGUCAAUUCCUUUGAGUUUUAAUCUUGCGAUCGUAGUCCCCAGGCGGAGUGCUUAAUGCGUUAGCUGCGAAACCGAGAAUAAAUUCCCGACAUCUAGCACUCAUCGUUUACAGCGUGGACUAC